AAUGUUACCCAAAGGGAGCGACGAAGGACGCAACGUGACUGGGAAGCUGCUAACAAGGAGGUGGUUGACGUCAACAAGGACACGUCCGCCCCGGUCGUGAAUGCCUCCGCGUCCGCCCCGCGCCAAGAAGGAAGGUGUCAUCCGCCCGGGACGCGAUCGAGUACUUUCGGCCCGGCGAUUGGCCAGGGAUUCCGAAUGGUUGAACGCAGCGGGAAGCGUCGGAGAUGCGUACGACUCGCCGCAACUCUAAUGGGCGCGGACAGCUCUGGGAACCGCCGGUUGCAGGGUAUGCGGGUAAUGGGUACCCAUUGCCAUCCCUAUUCAUAGGAACCACAAUUGAAUAGAAGGUUCAUCAUCCAAGAGAGUGUGAAAAUUUUGCGACCACUAUUCUUCCGUGGUUGGCCGGAACCAAAGUGGUGUUGAAUUAAGAUUCAUAUGGGGUUUUCGGUCACUUUGUAUGAAAAAACCGAGGGGAAGACAUUCAUUGUGUGCUAAUGUUAGUUGGAAUUGAAUGAAAAACCAAAGUGGCAACAAUUGAUCGAUUAUAAUGGCAACAAGAAGUUGAAGAGAAACAAUGGCUCAAGCUCCCAACAAGUCUAUUGGAUUGGAUGAUGAUGAUGUGGAAGGUGGAGGGGAGAAGGGACAAGCAACCGUGCCAAGGAUGAACCAUGAAUUGAUGAAAACCAAGUGGGAGAUUGCAAGGCCGCGCGUGAGGCCGUGGCGAGCACAAUGUUUACGACAUGGAUGGAGAUUUUUUUCACAAAGGAGGAGAAGAAGGAUGAGAGAUACAAUCUCUUCUUGGAUGCGGAAAAAAAGAGGGGAUGGAUCGGGAGCGGGAGAGAGUGAACAACAAGGUGCUGCUUCAGAAGGAGAGGAUUGACUUGAAAAAGGAUGAGGCAUAUGUCAAAUGGAAGCUUGAGUAGGCAAAGACUUUUGGAUCAAUUGAGCUCGAGAAAAGAGGUUGCUACUGCCUCUGGUCACGGAGGAUUUUAGGAUCAUCAUGUUGGCCGACGCUUCCCUCUUGGAUCCAGAAGGCAAGAAGUAGCUCGAGGCGAAGAAGAAGGAGAUCAACGCGCGCAACACGAGCAUCAAAUGUUUUUUUCUUGUAUCACCUAUCUAUGAAUUGUCGUAUUUUCUUUUGGGCAUGUGUUGAACUGUGCUUUAUUGCAUUGUUGAAUUAGCGAUGAAUUUGUGUCGUACUAUGGAUGUGCAUGGAUUUGAAGAGUUGAAUAUGAGGGGUGUGAUUGUC